AAUCAUCCUCUUUUUCAUCUAGGUGCGUCAUAUCCUAGGACAUUGAGUUGGAAAUAUCAGCAGCCUUCCGCAUCUGCUUUGCGACCCUUCGAUCCACCAUUUCUUCCUUUGUUGGACUUGUAAGUCAUAUCAGGCAACAAUCGAAGUUCGGUAGUAUCAAGAGACUCUCCGCCCUUCUUGUGUCACCAUUCAAUCCAUCAGUUCUCAUUCAAACCGUCUG
rnacentral:lncRNA from 1 species